UACUGAGACACGGACCAGACUCCUACGGGAGGCAGCAGUGAGGAAUAUUGGUCAAUGGGCGCAAGCCUGAACCAGCCAUGCCGCGUGCAGGAUGACGGUCCUAUGGAUUGUAAACUGCUUUUGUACGGGAAGAAACAACUCUACGUGUAGAGUCUUGACGGUACCGUAAGAAUAAGGAUCGGCUAACUCCGUGCCAGCCGCGGUAAUACGGAGGAUCCAAGCGUUAUCCGGAAUCAUUGGGUUUAAAGGGUCCGUAGGCGGUUUUAUAAGUCAGUGGUGAAAUCCGGCAGCUCAACUGUCGAACUGCCAUUGAUACUGUAAGACUUGAAUUAUUAUGAAGUAACUAGAAUAUGUAGUGUAGCGGUGAAAUGCUUAGAUAUUACAUGGAAUACCAAUUGCGAAGGCAGGUUACUAAUAAUAUAUUGACGCUGAUGGACGAAAGCGUGGGGAGCGAACAGGAUUAGAUACCCUGGUAGUCCACGCCGUAAACGAUGGAUACUAGCUGUUCGGCAGCAAUGCUGAGUGGCUAAGCGAAAGUGAUAAGUAUCCCACCUGGGGAGUACGAACGCAAGUUUGAAACUCAAAGGAAUUGACGG
rnacentral:rRNA from 1 species